UCUACAUCUUUUUGGUGACCACAAACUCAACGGUGUAAGCGUACUAACAUUAACGCAGUGUUACUACUACUGACCAAGAUAUGCGUACAUCAUCAUGAAAACCGUUCCACUUCAUCUAUGACCAUGUAGGUUUUCGUCGUUUAAGAUGAUUGGGUGUGAUUUGAGGGUAUAUUUGCUGCUAUUUCUAAAAGGUCGAAUGACUUCGUAAAAAGCAACGUCACCCCCACCCCACUUCAUUGGCUCGUGGAGGACUUCUAGAGUGAUUUCUGCUUCACGAAACCAAACUGAAAGUAACUUGGAAGUGUAACCACACAAAAAAAAUUGUUUGAGACGAGGUGGAGGUCAUUAUUUUCCUGAUGAAGGGCACCUAUCCUAAAUGUUUGAUUUUUCUUUGUCCUGGUGGUAGAACACGUACUUUAAUUCGUAUAUACUUUUUAAAAUGUAUAACUAUAGACAAACAGAUAAUAUAUACGGUAUCUAAGCAAACCAUGUGCUAUGUAAAUAAAUGCACAAUUAGAAUUUGGUCUAACAACCCGCCCCAGCUCUGGCUACGAUUUUCAUCGAAAUUGCAUAGUUUUGAAAGAAACAGCAAAACAUAGAAACACAUGAGUUGGUCGACAGAUACAUGUGAGUAGGUAGCAGAGAAAAACAAAUAAAUAUACAGGUAUGUAAAUAGGUAAGUUUCCAUUUAAAUAGAUACAUAUAUCAAUAUGCAGGUAAGAACACAAAAUAUACAGAUAACUAGUAGAUAUAUAGACGAAGAAUCUUAUGACCAGAGAAUGAAUGAAAAUACAACAAUGUGAAUAAAAAGAUAGUGAGAACUCACCCUAAAAUCAAAAAUUGCAUGUCUGAAGUAACAUAUCCAACCGCUGCUUCACGUUAGUAGCAUUUUUAUUUCACGAGACUAAUACGUUGAACUAUAGUAGUACUAAUAGUAGUGGUAGAUGGAAGUGAUGUUGGAAUUUAAACGCUGUAGUUGGAAGCAAUGUUUGCGAGUCUAGAGCUUCGAAAACGAGAUGGGGAUGAAGAUCCGUUGGUGAUGGAGAAGGCGAAAGUGAAAGCAUGAAAUUCGGCGGCAAGCUUAGGAUUUGAAACUGUUUUUUUUUCCGAGAUGAUAUUAGAAGUGAAUGAAAGAUUUUGAGAGAAACAAAAGGGAGAAAGAAGAAAAAGAGAUAAGUAAUAACAAAGAAGAAAAGAUGGAGAGACAAAGCGGGGACAAACGCUUUAUAUACUAAACCCUUUCAUAACGGGGAAAAUAGUAAUAACAAUGUGAGUCGAUAUAUGGCAAUGAAGUACCAAGUAGAAAAAUAUGAAAGAAUUUAUCUGAUAACCCAAUAAUUUAAAUAUUCGAUAUCAUAUAACUACCCUGUCGAAGUGCAAAUUAUGGACAUUAAGAUUAUUACAAAAUUCUGAACUCCCAGAAACAGCUAUCGAGUUGGCUUCAGAAUCCAGCGUGCUAACUAUUACACUACAGAACCUGGCUUGUUACGUUGGACAUGUUAGACGUAAAAAAAAAUCGUUACAUGAUUGUGAAAUACCUAUGUGCCUACUUUGAGUUCGCUUCUGCGAAUAAGAGCUGGAUUUGAUCGGAUGAGUUGAAAUUUAAUUUCUUCGCUUCUGAUGGCCAAGUCUUUAUCAGCUGUUCUAGAGGAGAAUUUCACUCACAAUGCAUGAUUCUAUCAGAUAAUCAUUUUGAGAUGGAUGUUUGCGAAAUGGAUGCUUCCUCACAUCAGAGCUAGAGCAUUGUGAAGAGUACGGCCAGUCCGGAGAUCUUAGAGACGUCUUUAAUCUUAUACGCCAAUACGCCUUUAUUGAUAAUAUUAAUAAAAUCAUAAAAAUAAAAAAUACAGUGAGAAAUUCAUAUACGAACGGUCCUCUAAAUGAACACAUUGAAUAACGAAUGGAUUUUCUGAAGAAAAUUAAAUUGAAAUUCAGUUAACGAACUACGAUAAAGUAUGCAGUGUGUACCUACAACAGAUGGGGUUUUUUUUCUCUCUCACCUUAGUAAUGUAUCUAGACUGCAGACCAAGCAUGGCUGGAGCAGACGACAAUCCCAGGAUUUAAAUUCAGAGGAAAACUUUGCGUAGGUUAUAUAUAUAUUUAAAAAAAUAAACACAGGAAGUAAAAUAAUUGCACAAUUAUAUAAAGAUUGAAAGAGUAAAAAACGAUUACUAUUAA